GACCACAUUUUAUUCACCCAAAAAUCGAUGGAGUGUAAGAGCUGACAGAUCAAUGAUGACCACAAAGGCAAUUUCUUAAUUCCUGGCUAGGUUUUCUGGCAAUUUCUCACCAACCCCACCAACCCCCUCCUGGGCACGGCAGUUUUGGCUUUUAGGGGUGUCGAUUUUAUCAACACAGGCUGCGGCUAAUCCAACAAAUUAAUGGAAAAGACACAGAAGUUUAUCUGCUUCAUAAAGGAAUUUCAUGUCAAACUCAUGAGUUUUGUUCUCAACAACUUGAGAACUUAGUGGUUCCAGCAAAUUUGAUUGAAGCUGCUUUUUUGGUUUCCCAUCUUUGUCUCUGAUGGUUCC
rnacentral:lncRNA from 1 species